AUGAACGCUAGCGACAGGCCUAACACAUGCAAGUCGAGGGGCAGCACAAGGAGCAAUCUGAGGUGGCGACCGGCGCACGGGUGAGUAACACGUAUGCAACCUGCCUGUAAGCGGGGAAUAACCCGUUGAAAGACGGACUAAUACCGCAUAAUACUAAAUUACUGCAUGGUAAUUUAUUUAAACAUUUAUGGCUUACAGAUGGGCAUGCGCAUGAUUAGCUAGUUGGAGAGGUAACGGCUCCCCAAGGCAACGAUCAUUAGGGGUUCUGAGAGGAAGGUCCCCCACACUGGUACUGAGACACGGACCAGACUCCUACGGGAGGCAGCAGUGAGGAAUAUUGGUCAAUGGACGAGAGUCUGAACCAGCCAAGUCGCGUGCAGGAAGAAUGUCCUAUGGACUGUAAACUGCUUUUGCAGGGGAAUAAAGUGCAUCACGUGUGAUGUUUUGUAUGUACUCUGCGAAUAAGGAUCGGCUAACUCCGUGCCAGCAGCUGC
rnacentral:rRNA from 1 species